rnacentral:hammerhead_ribozyme from 1 species
AUACUGUCGAUGAGUCCCAAACUAGGACGAAACAGCUGUCCAGUAC